ensembl:snRNA U6 U6 spliceosomal RNA
GUGCUGGCUUUGGCAGCACAUAUACUCCAAUUGGAACAAUACAGAGAAGAUUAACAUGGCCCCUGUGGCAAGGAUGACAUAAAAAUAGGUGAAGCAUUCCGUAUUUUC